CAGGCAUGGGAUCGGAUGUUCAUCACUCUCCAACUGAUCGUCCAGGAGAUGAGGCACUGUACAGUGUAAUAACUAGAGUGGAAAGACCAGAACAGCAGGGUGAAACUGACAUCUAUGCCAAAGUGACCAAAACAAAGAAGGAAAAAGAAAAACGGGACCCUGUCUACUGUCUGCUGAAAAAAUAAACAGAGAGGACACCAUGAUACUGUAUACUUUGUCAUUACAAAUACAGUAGUGCUAUACAGUAGUAUAUGACAUUUGAAAUGACACGACAGAACAUGUGGUUUAUCUGCCCUUUUGGUAGAAGAGGGGAUAUUAAUACUGUACAGCUAGGUGCACGUUUAUUGUGUCGAUUCGUUUUUUAAAUACUGCUUUGGUUUUGAACUUUUUCCUCUGCAUUUGAUGCAGUCUACAGUCUGUGUGCUUUCUUUGAGCCUAGCAAAGAUGUACAUGACAUUAUUCAACCUUUCA